rfam:Picea glauca, whole genome shotgun sequence.
GGGUGCGAUCAUACUAGCGUUAAUGCACCGGAUCCCCUCAGAGCUCCGCAGUUAAGCGCGCUCGGGCUAGAGUACUACCGGGAUGGGUGACCUCUCGGGAAGUCCUAGUGUUGCACCGU